CUUAGCAGCAUAGCCAAGUUCUCCCAAGAGGCUAAAGAUGCUGUGAGGAUUAUCAUGGCCCCCAUGCAAGGAUGACAUGCAAAUUCAUGGAUCAUUCACAUUGAAU
ensembl:snRNA Gm26484 predicted gene, 26484